rfam:Triticum aestivum genome assembly, contig: Triticum_aestivum_CS42_TGACv1_scaffold_423404_5BS
GUGAGCCGUGUGAUUGGAAACCUUCCCGCAUGGUUUGGAGAGCGUUGAAGACGAAUGAGAGGUUCACCACCACUUCAU